GGAAGUAAAAGUCGUAACAAGGUUUCCGUAGGUGAACCUGCGGAAGGAUCAUUAACGAUUGCUGCACACGCAAAAAAAGGAAAGGACGUAUGGUUAAAAGCUAAAACUCCUGACGAGUUUAGGAAGGCUGAUGCCUCUUCCUCUCUGGCGCUAGCUAGCGAGCGAAAAAUGGCCAUCGUGGUCGUUGUGCGUCUCUGCACUGCGAACGAUGUAAAACAAACAACCGAUGGCCUCUCAUACAGUAUAAUAUCUCUCGCCAUGGUAUACAGGCCUGGCAUCUGGUACGAGUCUCUCGCAGUCUCAAAACCAACCUUACAACUCUGAGCGGUGGAUCACUUGGCUUGUGGAUGCUAUGAAGACCAUAGCUAAGUGUGAGAAUGGCAGCGAGCCGUCGCUAUAUGCGCUGUCCUCUUCUUAUCACAUGUCGAAUGCACAUUGCGCCCCACCCAGCGGUCGGCUAACCUCCUGCAGACAAAAGCCUGUGAGUUGGAACAAAGGCGGUGUGUGGCCCUCGAGCAACGGCGGGGGAGCCAGGAGCACAUUUGCGUGCGGACCAAUCACUCGUUAGUAGUCAGGCUGAACCCCAUGGUGGGGCACUCCUAGUCGAGUGUGGUGGAUCGGGCUCUUAUCUCUUAUUGCGCUUUUGCGCGAAGGAGUUUGAGUUACUUUGUUGCUGGUGGCUUUUUGGGUCGACAUCAGUCGUGCCCGUAAACAACUGCCUUGGCUCGUGCCUCUGUGCGUUUUCCUCACGCAGGUGCGUACAUUGAAGGCCAAAGCUGGCGAUCCCUCUUGCGGCCAGGGCACUACCUUUGCGGUAGUGCGCAGAGGUCCAAAAAAAGGAAAUGGUUACACGAGAGUCGGGUCUCUGCUACUCUCUGCCUUUUGUUCGCGCACAGCGAGUGGAAAGAUGGCGCGCAAACGCUUGUCAGCCCUGGAGUAUACGCUUGUCUGGUAGAGGUUCGUCUCUCGUACUAUUCGAGAGUGACGUUCCCCAUACCUCUCUCUUUUUUUUUUUGGUUCACGCGCACACGCGCGCACACAUGCUGACAGACAGAGGGCUAACGCCUGAUUUGUUCAGGACGUUUAUUCUAUAACAGUGUGCAGAGCAGCAGCAGCAGAUGGUCAUGGUUUGGAAAAAGGCGCGCCACUCCACGUUUGUAGCUUCGUGCAGGCGAGGCAGUGAGAGAGACCCACAUGCUCGUGUUUUCAAUAAGCCACCACCUCGACUUAGGAGAGGUUACCCGCUGAACUUAAGCAUAUCAGUAAGCGGAGGAAAAGAAACCAAUCAGGGAUUCCCUUAGUAGGGGCGACCGAAAAGGGAUGAGCCCAGCGCAGAACCUCCCGGGCCACCCGGCCUGCGGCGGAAUGUUGCGUUAAGGGAAAGGUCGUAGUCAAACCCCACAGCCACGCGAGCACUAAGUAAGUCACGAAUUGGCUAUCCCAACUAACGGCGGGAAAAUCUCCACGGAGGGUGUAAGACCCGUUUGGGCGCGUGUAAAUGCUGUGUGGGCUCGGCCUCUUUUCCCUGAGAGUCGCGUUGCUUGAGCAUGCAGCGCUAAGCAGGUCGUAAACUCGAUCUAAGGCUAAAUAUGUCCACAAGACCGAUAGCGAACAAGUACCGUGAGGGAAAGUGAAAAGCACUCUGAAGAGAGA
rnacentral:rRNA from 1 species